rnacentral:rRNA from 1 species
UACAGAGGUCUCAAGCGUUGUUCGGAUUCAUUGGGCGUACAGGGUGCGUAGGCGGCGGGGUAAGUCAGGUGUGAAAUCUCGGGGCUCAACCCCGAAACUGCACUUGAUACUGCCUCGCUUGAGUACUGGAGAGGAGACUGGAAUUUACGGUGUAGCAGUGAAAUGCGUAGAUAUCGUAAGGAAGACCAGUGGCGAAGGCGAGUCUCUGGACAGUUACUGACGCUGAGGCACGAAGGCCAGGGGAGCAAACGGG